ensembl:lncRNA
GAAGGAGGGGAGAGCACCAACCAGCAGCCACUCCCGGCCUGCUGCCGAAGUUUCACUUUUUGUCUGUGGGUUCGCUCCCAGGGCCCGCUCGAGCUUUCCCGGGAUAAGUAGCGUUAGCGGCGGGGAGAGCCGGCCGCUGCAAGGACCUGAAGAGAAUCCUGUCAGCUAGAGUGUCUGAAGAGGCUGGAAAGUAGGCCACACCCUCAGAGCUGCUCAGGACUCCUCUUGAGGGUGGUGUCCAGCAAGAAGGCUGGUGGGAACACAGGCUCAAGGACAGAGGUAGAGAGAGCGAGCCAGGUGCUUCUGCACUUGUUACUCUUCACUGUGGUCUCACCGAGAGACAUUGUCCCUCAGUUGGUGAGUGGUACCCGGAAAUAUGCUUUUUUUUAAAAAAAAAAUUCCACAAUACAUGCUUUAAUCAAUUUUAGAAAUAAUGGAUGCUGGUAACAGGAGACGAGAACUGGAGAACUCUGAAGAGUUCAUUAUGAUCAUCAUCGUCAUCAUCAUCAAUAUAAUUUUGAAAUGUUUGUGUGGCAACAACCUAGACGCCAUAAUGUCAAUAAAAUACGUGGCGAAGCAAAGGGGGCUUCACCUCUUGCAAGGUGGUGUGCAGAGAAGCUGGAGGGGAACUCAGUGGCAAUUAUUUCAUCUCCCAGUAAUUGUCUAACUCCCUUCUUUUCCCUUUGGUAAGAGGCGAGGUGUUAUUGAAAUCAAAAGACUGAGAUGAAGAUGACAGGGAGCCCUGAUUGCAUUUGGGAGGAAAGAAAUCAAAGUAAUUAGAUGUUUCUUGUUUACUCCUGUGUAAUGUGCCUUUUUCAUUUACAACCUCAUUUCAUUUUCCCAUCAACCUUUGGAGGUGGAGAGGGCUAGCAGCCUUGGUAGAGGGUGGGAGCCUUUGUUUUAAUGACCUGCUAGCACGCCAUGGCAAACUGAGUGUGGGUCUUGUUGCUGUGUGCUGGGAAGGUCAUCAGAUGUGUUGUCCUGCAGUGGCUCAAUAGCGGACAGACGUAGGACGGGUAUGGCGUAAAGAGUCAUCUGUAUGAUGCGACCUGGUGGUGCCUUGGUGGCAAGCGGAGGGAAAGUAACUGGGGAAUUCUUGCUGAGACGUUCACUAACUCUCGUCCUCUGGACUUCCGUUAAACUACAUAGAUAAUAAACCUCGUUCUGAGUGUUGUGGAGUUUUUCAGAGCACCUCGAAUGCUGUCGUGAUAGGGAAAGCUCAGCUUGAUUUGAAAGUGUGACCGAGUUCAUCCUUGUUUCAUCAUUGUUUUCUUUAUCUUUGUCCCACUACCUUCAGUGGACGAUUGGUCGCCACUGCAUACGUAACUGGCUCUUUGGCUUUGUCUUGGCAAUAUUUCUCUAAUAGAAUCUCAAACCUGGGCUUGAAUAUUCCUCCCGGACUCCAGCUUAUGGUUACAACAUCAGUGGGAAUCUUUGUUACCUGCUCUAUCUCUUGGGAUUCUCAGGGCUUAAAGUGAAAUUGUGGUAGCCUUCAACUUGGAUUUAGUGAACUCAAAUGGUCCACUAAAAUGGCAGGACCGAAAAGACUGCUUUCAUGAGUUGACUGAAGGAAGCUCGGAAGUUUUUGUUAUCCCGAGGUUAGUUCUGGUCCACAGCG